UCGCCUCGGCGCGCAGGCUCACGCGGCGCUUCUGGGCCGCCGCCUGCGCAGCGGGCGCGGCGACCGGUUCGACCUCGUCGAGGUGGGC
rnacentral:tRNA from 1 species